UAUGUACUGAAUGUAACGCGAGCGAGCAUCGGCGCCAAAAUCGGUUUGAUUGCGUUGUUUUCUAUUGGAGUGUCCUAAUUGGCCGCGAGUUUUUUCAUUCUGUUGAUGUCACAGUUAAGAAAGACUGUGUUAAGUUUGAUGCGUAAAAGUAUUAGUGUCUAUCCCUUGUAUUGCGAUUCUACAAGUAUUGCUUUAGAUAUUUUGAUUUAUUGUAGUUUUUGUUAACUUUUUUAAUACUAGACCAGGGG